rnacentral:rRNA from 1 species
UGAGGAAUAUUGGUCAAUGGGCGCAAGCCUGAACCAGCCAUGCCGCGUGCAGGAUGACGGCCCUACGGGUUGUAAACUGCUUUUAUACGGGAAUAAACCCUUGGACGUGUCCAAGGUUGAAGGUACCGUAGGAAUAAGGAUCGGCUAACUCCGUGCCAGCAGCCGCGGUAAUACGGAGGAUCCAAGCGUUAUCCGGAUUUAUUAGGUUUAAAGGGUGUGUAGGCGGAUUUGCAAGUCAGCGGUGAAAGCCCAUAGCUCAACUAUGGAACUGCCGUAGAUACUGCGGACCUUGAGUCCACUUGAAGUAGGCGGAACGUGUAAUGUAGCGGUGAAAUGCUUAGAUAUUACACAGAACACCGAUUGCGAAGGCAGCUUACUAAAGUGUAACUGACGCUGAGGCACGAAAGCGUGGGGAGCAAACAGG